GGCUAAGCAGGUAGUGUGGUAGUAGAUGGUAUGGCAGUUUUGGUGUGGCUAAGCAGGUAGUGUGGUAGUAGAUGGUGUGGCUAAGGAGGUGGUGUGGUAGUAGAUGGUGUGGCUAAGGAGGUGGUGUGGCUAAGGAGGUGAUGUGGUGGUAGAUGGUGUGGCUAAGCAGGUGGUGUGGUAGUAAGUGGUGUGUCUGAUGAUGUGGUGUUGCUAAGUAGUUUGGCAGUUUGUGG